rnacentral:tRNA from 1 species
GCGCCCUUAGCUCAGCUGGAUAGAGUACCUGGCUACGAACCAGGCGGUCGGAGGUUCGAAUCCUCCACGGCGCACCA